UGAAACUUUAGUGAGUAGGA
rnacentral:miRNA from 1 species